rnacentral:rRNA from 1 species
UACGUAGGCAGCGAGCGUUGUUCGGAGUUACUGGGCGUAAAGAGUGCGUAGGCGGUUUUCUAAGUUUGGUGUGAAAUCUCCCGGCUUAACUGGGAGGGUGCGCCGAAAACUGGAAGGCUUGAGUAUGGGAGAGGUAAGCGGAAUUCCUGGUGUAGCGGUGGAAUGCGCAGAUAUCAGGAGGAACACCGAUGGCGAAGGAAGAUCUAUGGGACGUAACUGACGCUGAGGAACGAAAGCAUGGGGAGCGAAAAGG